UACGUAGGGUGCAAGCGUUGUCCGGAAUUAUUGGGCGUAAAGAGCUCGUAGGCGGUCUGUCGCGUCGGCUGUGAAAACCCGGGGCUCAACCCCGGGCCUGCAGUCGAUACGGGCAGACUAGAGUGCGGUAGGGGAGACUGGAAUUCCUGGUGUAGCGGUGAAAUGCGUAGAGAUCGGAAGGAACGUCGAUGGCGAAGGCAGCCACCUGGUCUGAAACUGACGCUGAGGCGCGAAAGCGUGGGGAGCGAACAGG
rnacentral:rRNA from 1 species